UACGGGGGGGCAAGCGUUGGUUCGGAAUUACUGGGCGUAAAGGGCUCGUAGGCGGCCAACUAAGUCAGACGUGAAAUCCCUCGGCUUAACCGGGAACUGCGUCUGAUACUGGAUGGCUUGAGUUUGGGAGAGGAUGCGGAAUUCCAGGUGUAGCGGUGAAAUGCGUAGAUAUCUGGAGGAACACCGGUGGCGAAGGCGGCAUCCUGGACCAACACUGACGCUGAGGAGCGAAAGCCAGGGGAGCAAAGCGGG
rnacentral:rRNA from 1 species